CUCUCUCUCUCUCUCUCUCUCUCUCUCUCUUGGGGCUGGGGUGGGGGCGGAGCGCGACGUAGGCGGGGCGGCAGAGGGAGCCCCGGGACCACGAGGGCGCCGCGGAGGCGCACGGAUUCCGGGGAGGACGGAGGGGCAAACCGUGGAAACGAGGGAGUCCCGAGAAGACACGAAGGGGCGAGACACCCCUAGGGACGGGAGACACAGGGACGCAGAGAGACCCCUAGGGACCGACCGCGGCGAGCGGGGAGGGGCCCAGGCAGCACGGGGCAGGAGGCGACAGACGGGGGCCCCUGAGGUGGGCCAGGGGACUGAGCCACGCCGCCCCGGGGAGGGCGGCGACAUCGGGGUCCAGGGAGGAGAGACAGACGGAGACGCGCAGCGAAGCACACGGCCGCAGAAGUUCUCGGACGCAGAGCGAGGACGAGACUGCUCUGCAGGACCGGAGACUGCAAGAGACAGAGGCGGACCAGAGGAUGAGGGGCAGCACAGGCUCUGAGAGGCAGGCGGCGUCAGGGACAGAGCGCCCCAAGCCUCCCUGAACCCUGGGCCUUCAGUACCAGGCAGAAAGUUUGUUGAUUGGCGCAGUGACGCGGACACGGGGACCGCGGUGAGGGCGGAGACGCCGGACUGGCUGGACCCUCCCAGCCACCUAGCGGAAAGGGGGCUCUGAGGCAGAAGGUGGUCCACGAAGUCAAGAGCCACAAGUUCACCGCUCGCUUCUUCAAGCAGCCCACCUUCUGCAGCCACUGCACCGACUUCAUCUGGGGUAUUGGAAAACAGGGCCUGCAGUGUCAAGGUAAGAGCUGGGACCCGGACUCCUGGGACCCCCGAGGGUGGAGGCAGGGUCCCCACAGCUGAGGCUGGCGGCACACGUGUUCGAGGUCCCCAGGGAGGCGCGGGGGAGCCCGGGGCGGGGGGUGUGGCAGAGACAGUCUGUGGAAGGGAGGGAGCUCGGAUGGUGGGGCCAUCCGCGGGGGUGGUGCUGGGGGCCCCUCCCUCGGCCAGCUCCAGGUGGGGACAGAUAUUUGGAGAAUCUGUUGCCAUGGGAACAGGGAGAUUUGGAAAAGGGGGAGCUGAAGGGGGGGAAGGGGCUGGAGAUGCAAAGUCAGAGCCCCCCCAGGCUGCGGUAGCCAUGACAACACUAUGCAGCCCAGGCAGGGGCAGGCCCGGUGGGGGUCACCGUGAUGGGGGGGCGGUUCGGGGGGGGCAGGGAAGGGGGCGAGUCCUAAAGUGCCAGCUGCCACUUGCUGAGAACAGAGUGAGUCAGGGUGGGGUGGGCCAGAGCCACCCCAGGCUCACUCCUGCUCCGUCCUUGCUCUGCUAGGGCUGUGCCUGAGAGUCUGUUUUCAGUCUUCCCAUCUGUCUGCGGCCUGGGUCUUCAGGUCUAUGGGAUCCUGUUUUCCUUCUUCCUGUCUGUCUGUCUCCCUGUCUCCCUGUCUCCCUCCCUCCCUCCCUUGGGCCCCUGUGUGUGAUCGCGGCUUUGUGUUUCUGCGAUUAAGCGCAUCCCUCUCCCCCUUCGAGUCCGUGUUUUGGGUUUCUCACUGUCCCUGUCUCUGUCCCUGUCUGUCCCUGCACAUGGGGUCUCCCCUCUGACUUUCUGCUGUAUUCUGUUUGCUCGGAUCCCCCUCCUCCAUUUUCUCGCUGUCACCUCUUUUUCUCUUUCCACUUUGUAUCUGUGGGGAUCUCUGGAUUUACCCGCGUCCUCGCUCUGGCUCUGUGUCUCUGUGAUUUUCCCUUCAGUCUGCAGCUUUGUGGUUCAUCGGCGAUGCCACGACCCGUGACCUUCGAGUGUCCAGGUGCUGGGAAGGGCCCCAGACGGACGACCCCCGGAACAAGCACAAGUUCCGCCUGCACAGUUACAGCAGCCCCACCUUCUGCGACCACUGCGGCUCGCUGCUGUACGGCCUGGUGCACCAGGGCAUGAAGUGCUCCUGCUGCGAGAUGAACGUGCACCGGCGCUGUGUGCGCAGCGUGCCCUCGCUGUGCGGUGUGGACCACACCGAGAGCGCCGUGGCCGCCUGCAGCUGGAGAUCCGGGCCCCGACCAACGAGGAGAUCCACGUCACCGGUGAGGCCCCGCCCACGGAGGCCCUGCCCCUCGCAAGUGGGAGGCCUUUCGUCCCCACGUUGG
rnacentral:lncRNA from 1 species